AGAAGUUAGUUUAUUUUAGUAUACACACGAUCGUUGGCAACUCCAGCAGGGCGCGAAAUUUAAAAGUGUCCAUUGCUUAUAUUUUUGAUUUAUUCUAAUUCAUAGUUCCGGCAUAUCAUUGCAUAAGUGUGUGCCAGUUUAAACAGCAUAUUUAUUUAGUUCUGAGUUUAUAAAAUCAAAUAGAAAUACAAUUUUUUUAAAUUAUAAAAUAUGCUUUGAUAGGGAUUAAACUUCUUUGCAAUGUUAACAAAGUCACAUAUUUAGUUGAACGGCGCAUUAAAAAACUUUGAAAACAGUCCUGAAUACGCUUGAUACGCGUAGGCCAAAAUCAAGAAACUUUAGGAACAAAUGAAAGAAAGAAACCAGUCUGAAAAAAUGAGUUCCCCGAAAAUAAAAGUAGCAGAUUUCAACAGCACCAAAAUUCAUUCGCAGCGAAAAACAUAUACCCCGCUUAGGGUUCGUUGCGACAUAUGAUGGAAAUGCGACGCGUCUUGGGCACCAGCGUACCCCGAAACUGGGAGUGCUCCUUGGACAGUAUCUCGUGCGUGAAGUUGUAGCGAGCCGUGUGGCUCAUUAUGUACAAGGAGCGGCGUGGCAGCAGGAUGUCAGCGUAAAAGUUGUUCUUCAGAGGCGCCUCCGGACUUACUCGCGUGCUAUCCACAUGGGGCUUGAUUACGCCAUCGGGCGCAAGAUCCAGGAUGUGGACAUAGGGCAUAAUUGCUCCAUCGAAGGCGACUUGGCGCACGCGCUCCAGGACCUCUCUGUUUUUGGGGAACCACUUCUUCCGCUCCGUCUCCCGAAAACCGUGAAUGGCCUGCAAGAUGGCUGUUAUCAUCCAUGUAAACAUAUUCGUGAUCUUAUCCCACAUCGUCCCAGUGAUCGAACUCGUAGCGCAGGCGGCUCAUAUAGGGUUCGAUUUCCUCGUGAAGCUGCUGUUCCUCUGGCUCACUAA